rnacentral:rRNA from 1 species
CCCUUAGAUGUUCUGGGCCGCACGCGUGCUACACUGAUGCAUUCAACGAGUCCAACCUUGACCGAGAGGUCCGGGUAAUCUUUGAAACUGCAUCGUGAUGGGGCUAGAUUAUUGCAAUUAUUAAUCUUCAACGAGGAAUGCCUAGUAAGCGUGAUUCAUCAAAUCGCGUUGAUUACGUCCCUGCCCUUUGUACACACCGCCCGUCGCUCCUACCGAUUGAGUGUGUUGGUGAGGAGUUUGGAUUGGCCUCGGAAGGUGGUUCGCCACCGUCCGUAGCUGAGAAGUUCUCCAAACCGCCCCACUUAGAGGAAGGAGAAGUCGUAACA